CCCCAAUGGGUGUCCAUUACUUGCAAUUCCAGUUGCACCCAUGUGCACUGUGCACAGUCCUGCAAUGUAACACAUACCAUAAAAUAUCUGAUUGGCUUUUUAUAAUUCUUUUAUUUUCUGUGGCAGCAGAUGUCCAAGGUUUAAAAUAAGAGCACUGUGAAAACAGAAAAUGAAAACAGCUUGGAUGACUUCAUAAGAGAUUACGUGAUGAAGUGUCUUUAUUUCCUUUCAUGCCAAUGUAUUUUCUUUCUUGUGAAAGAUUAGAAAACUAAUUUCCAAGAUCCUCCAAGCAGAGACCACAUGAAUAAACUUAAAGAUUUGUGUCUUAGAAUGGUUAAGAAGAUUGGUCAAGAUGGAUUGGUGUUUCCCCACCAUGAAACUCACCACUGCCAGAAAGAAAGUUGCUGCAUAUUCCUUUAUCUUCAUCAGGAGUUACUUGUUUGUCUCAUCUACCUUUUGAAGAAUAAGAUGUCUUAGACUGAUUUUUGAC
rnacentral:lncRNA from 1 species